UGGCUCGGUAGGAGUCCCCAUCACGACAUCUCUCCGAAGACAUCAGGCAGAUCUCACAGUCCUUCCAUCACAUUCAGCGACUCCUCGCUCAGCCUGAGCCAGAGAAAAUCUAAGGCAUUGGGUCCCGAGUUCGUCAGAAUGCCAGAUGAGCAACAAAUUGUUCUUGAGCUUCCAGGAUCUAUUGUGUCCAGAAAGGGCCGUUCAUGUUCGUCUCAGAGAGAAGUGACUGUUGUGAUGCCUAAUGGACAGUACGUGGUGGUUCGCUGUGACAUUAAGUCCAGAGCAAGAGAUGUGUUUGACAUGGUGGUCGCGCACGCAAACUUGGUGG